rnacentral:tRNA from 1 species
GGGGAUAUAAUUAAAUUGAUAAAAUGACUAUGUUUCAAAAUAGUUUAUACAAGUUUAAGUCUUGUUAUAUUCA